rnacentral:rRNA from 1 species
UACGUAGGGGGCAAGCGUUGUCCGGAAUCAUUGGGCGUAAAGAGCGUGUAGGCGGCCCGGUAAGUCCGCUGUGAAAGUCCAGGGCUCAACCCUCGAAUGCCGGUGGAUACUGUCGGGCUAGAGUGCGGAAGAGGCGAGUGGAAUUCCUGGUGUAGCGGUGAAAUGCACAGAUAUCAGGAAGAACACCCGUGGCGAAGGCGGCUCUCUGGGACGGUACUGACGCUGAGACGCGAAAGCGUGGGGAGCGAACAGG